rnacentral:rRNA from 1 species
UACGGAGGGUGCGAGCGUUAUCCGGAAUUACUGGGUUUAAAGGGUGCGUAGGCGGCUUUGUAAGUCAGGAGUGAAAGUUUGCGGUUCAACCGUAAAAUUGCUUUUGAUACUGCAGAGCUAGAAUCAGGAUGAGGUUAGCGGAAUGUGGCAUGUAGCGGUGAAAUGCAUAGAUAUGCCAUAGAACACCAAUUGCGAAGGCAGCUGGCUAGACCUGCAAUGACGCUGAGACACGAAAGAGUGGGGAGCGAACAGC